GACGAACGCUGGCGGCGUGCUUAACACAUGCAAGUCGAGCGGAAAGGCCCUUCGGGGUACUCGAGCGGCGAACGGGUGAGUAACACGUGAGUAACCUGCCCCAGACUUUGGGAUAACCCUCGGAAACGGGGGCUAAUACCGGAUACGACACAGCUUCGCAUGGGGUCUGUGUGGAAAGUUUUUCGGUUUGGGAUGGGCUCGCGGCCUAUCAGCUUGUUGGUGGGGUGAUGGCCUACCAAGGCGACGACGGGUAGCCGGCCUGAGAGGGCGACCGGCCACACUGGGACCGAGACACGGCCCAGACUCCUACGGGAGGCAGCAGUGGGGAAUAUUGCACAAUGGGCGGAAGCCUGAUGCAGCGACGCCGCGUGAGGGAUGACGGCCUUCGGGUUGUAAACCUCUUUCAGCAGGGACGAAGCGUAAGUGACGGUACCUGCAGAAGAAGCGCCGGCCAACUACGUG
rnacentral:rRNA from 1 species